rnacentral:RNase_P_RNA from 1 species
AGGCGGCACGGCAAGCCCCGCCGGGAGCAAGACCGAAUAGGGACACACGAAGCGCAAGCUUCACGCGCGUCCGCGCGUCGUGUCCGGGUUGGUCGCGAGAACCAUGCGGCGACGUAUGGUCCAGAGGAAUGGUCGUCACCUCGCAAGAGGAACAGAACCCGGCUUAUAGGCCGACUGGCAUU